GACGAACGCUGGCGGCGUGCCUAAUACAUGCAAGUCGAACGAACCGCGACUGAGUGCUUGCACUUGGUCAAGGUGAGUGGCGAACGGGUGAGUAACACGUGGGUAACCUACCUCAUAGUGGGGGAUAACAGUCGGAAACGACUGCUAAUACCGCAUAGGACAUAGGAUCACAUGAUCCAGUGAGGAAAGGUGGCGCAAGCUAUCGCUAAGAGAUGGACCCGCGGUGCAUUAGCUAGUUGGUAGGGUAAAGGCCUACCAAGGCGAUGAUGCAUAGCCGACCUGAGAGGGUGAUCGGCCACAUUGGGACUGAGACACGGCCCAAACUCCUACGGGAGGCAGCAGUAGGGAAUCUUCCGCAAUGGACGCAAGUCUGACGGAGCAACGCCGCGUGAGUGAAGAAGGUCUUCGGAUCGUAAAGCUCUGUUGUUAGAGAAGAACAGCGCAUAGAGUAACUGCUAUGCGUGUGACGGUAGCUAACCAGAAAGCCACGGCUAACUACGUG
rnacentral:rRNA from 1 species